rnacentral:lncRNA from 1 species
CAGAACCUGCAUUCCUCAGGUGUUAGCUAAUAUCGUUAACCACCAGCUGUGCUGUAUCUGUUUUAGCCAAAGAUAAACCGAAGCAUUACAUGGUUAGUCAAAGAGAGAUAAUGUACUUUAUUGGGCCAAACUGUUUCACACCAUCUCUAUUGUGCUUCAUUACUUGCUUUAUUAAUAACCUCCCUCCUUCUCUAACUUUUCAUGUGCUCACAUAUCCAAGUUGAAAAGCCCCUGGAAAACCAAAUGUCUCGCCACCCUCUGAGCUUCUGACAAGCCGUCUGUUCCUGCAUGGGCUGCAGGGCAGAAAGAUGUGGAGGACAAAAAGGAAGAUUGAUUUCCAGCCUUUUGGGGGAUCUGCGCGCUUAUGCCCUCCUACCAGGAUCUCUUGACUUUCCUCACCGUGAAUUUCCACAACUUAAUGCAAUUGCAGUUUCAGACAGAAGCAUGCACAUUUCAAUUUACACACGGAUUACCUGCCAUUUUGAAUUAACAUCUGCAGCUGUUCAUUAUCGGGAUAAUUUGCAAGGAGUGUUGGAGGUUAGAGGGGUUUGUCACUAUUAGCAUCACUGUCAAAAACUCAUCCUGAAAAGAUGAUUGUAGAGAUGAAAAAAAAGUUCACAAAAAUAAAAUGCAGCUUCACAGUAAUAACUUCCAGUGAAAGAAUGGACUCCAAAAGAGGCUGAAUAAAUUCAGCUCACAGCAUGUUUCUUCAUUGAAUGUUUUCAUUAUAGCAAAUUAAGCUUUAAAACUUAGCAAACUAGGCAGUGAUGCUGCAUAGCUUUUACAAUGAAGGAGAAAAUCAUCAAAUCAUGUAAUUUGGUAUUGCUAAAAUGUUUCUAUGG